rnacentral:tRNA from 1 species
GUGGCUUUAGUUUAACAAAAACGUUUGCUUUGCAAGCAGGAGUUCUAAGUUAGAUUCUUAGAAGCUACA